GAUGAACGCUGGCGGCGUGCCUAAUACAUGCAAGUCGAGCGAACAGACGAGGAGCUUGCCCCUCUGACGUUAGCGGCGGAAGGGUGAGUAACACGUGGAUAACCUACCUAUAAGACUGGGAUAACUUCGGGAAACCGGAGCUAAUACCGGAUAAUAUAUUGAACCGCAUGGUUCAAUAGUGAAAGACGGUUUUGCUGUCACUUAUAGAUGGAUCCGCGCCGCAUUAGCUAGUUGGUAAGGUAACGGCUUACCAAGGCAACGAUGCGUAGCCGACCUGAGAGGAUGAUCGGCCACACUGGAACUGAGACACGGUCCAGACUCCUACGGGAGGCAGCAGUAGGGAAUCUUCCGCAAUGGGCGAAAGCCUGACGGAGCAACGCCGCGUGAGUGAUGAAGGUCUUCGGAUCGUAAAACUCUGUUAUUAGGGAAGAACAAAUGUGUAAGUAACUAUGCACGUCUUGACGGUACCGAAUCAGAAAGCCACGGCUAACUACGUG
rnacentral:rRNA from 1 species